GAUUAUGGCUCAGAACGAACGCUGGCGGCGUGCUUAAUACAUGCAAGUCGAACGUGAUUCCCGACUUCGGUUGGGAUGAAAGUGGCGAACGGGUGAGUAACACGUAAGUAAUCUGCCUUCAAGUUUGGGAUAACCCUGCCAACGCGGGGCUAAUACCGGAUGUGGUCCAGCAGACCCAUGUUUGCGGGAUUAAAGGUCGCGAGACCGCUUGGAGAUGAGCUUGCGGCCCAUUAGCUAGUUGGUGAGGUAACGGCCCACCAAGGCAGGGAUGGGUAGCCGGCCUGAGAGGGUGUACGGCCACAUUGGGACUGAGAUACGGCCCAGACUCCUACGGGAGGCAGCAGUAGGGAAUUUUGCGCAAUGGACGGAAGUCUGACGCAAGCAACGCCGCGUGAAGGAUGAAGGCCUUCGGGUUGUAAACUUCUGUUGGAUAGGGAAAAAAGCCUUUUAAGAGGAAUUGAUGGUACCAUUCGAGUAAGCACCGGCUAACUACGUGCCAGCCGCAGC
rnacentral:rRNA from 1 species